rnacentral:rRNA from 1 species
AUACGGAGGGGGCAAGCGUUGUUCGGAAUUACUGGGCGUAAAGGGCGCGCAGGCGGCGUCGUUAGUCAGGUGUGAAAUCCCCGGGCUCAACCCGGGAACUGCACUUGAUACUGCGAUGCUAGAGUUCGGGAGAGGGUAGUGGAAUUCCCAGUGUAGAGGUGAAAUUCGUAGAUAUUGGGAAGAACACCAGUGGCGAAGGCGGCUACCUGGACCGAUACUGACGCUGAGGCGCGAAAGCGUGGGGAGCAAACAGGAUUAGAAACCCCAGUAGUCC